rnacentral:misc_RNA from 1 species
GAUGAAGAACGCAGCGAAAUGCGAUAAGUAAUGUGAAUUGCAGAAUUCAGUGAAUCAUCGAAUCUUUGAACGCACAUUGCGCCCGCCAGUAUUCUGGCGGGCAUGCCUGUUCGAGCGUCAUUACAACCCUCAGGCCCCCGGGCCUGGCGUUGGGGAUCGGCAGAAGCCCCCUGUGGGCACACGCCGUCCCUCAAAUACAGUGGCGGUCCCGCCGCAGCUUCCAUUGCGUAGUAGCUAACACCUCGCAACUGGAGAGCGGCGCGGCCAUGCCGUAAAACACCCAACUUCUGAAUGUUGACCUCGAAUCAGGUAGGAAUACCCGCUGAACUUAAGCAUAUCAAUAAGCGGGGA